UUUUAUGAAUGAAUUGGCAGCUUAUACAUACCGUUACAUUGUGACCUUGAAUUUCUUCUGCUUUAUAAAGCGUCAGCGCAAGUCCAAAUUCUGCUGGUCCAUGUGGUUCGCUUUUAAUAUUGUUUCGUACUUCUCCUAGCUGACAGUCAAUGGGCACCUCCCACUUUUCGACAACUGAUUUUCCAUUUGACAAAGACCCAUAUGUGCCGCAGCAAAACAUAAACUGGAUUCCGGAGCGUAUAUGGAUGAUCCAAAUACAUGGGAAGCUCUAUUUGAGUUAAAACUCAAUAGUAUAAAAGUUCCUGAAUUUUCUAGUGUCUUAUUGAAACAGGACGCAGGACAUUGAAAAUGAAGAGAAGUUCCUACAUGAAUAGGAGGAUUAAACACAACAUUCAAAUAAAUACGUAACCGGCACUAUAGGGAUAUGCAACUUUACUUACAAACGAGGUACUUUGCUUAGUUGGUUCAUGUUCUUCCUCACACUCCGUUCCCCAUAUUUCAAAAGAUCUAACAUAGAAAAAUAAUCACGAUGAAUUUACUAAUAAACGUCCGUGACUGACCCUCCUGUAUCUUCUCCAUUAACGUACAUCCUUGACACUUCUAUUCUAACGAAAUUGGUGACGAUAGAGUUCUUAAAAAGAAAAGAAGUUUUAGAAUGAUUUAAAAAAAUCUAUGGUACCAAAGGAUAAUUUAAUGCGUCCAUAUUAGCUGCGUGAGAAACUUUUUUCUGCAAACGAUAACGUGAUCUCGGAUGGCCAUGUGAUCGGAUCAGUUCGAGGGAUGAAACGAAACUUGCUUAAUUGCACUUGUUUUUUAAAUCGAAUAAUUAGACUGUAACAAAAGAAUUUCCAUUUAGAAAAUUGUU